rnacentral:rRNA from 1 species
AUAACCAUUGGAAACGAUGGCUAAUACCGCAUAAUGCCUACGGGCCAAAGAGGGGGACCUUCGGGCCUCUCGCGUCAGGAUAUGCCUAGGUGGGAUUAGCUAGUUGGUGAGGUAAUGGCUCACCAAGGCGACGAUCCCUAGCUGGUCUGAGAGGAUGAUCAGCCACACUGGAACUGAGACACGGUCCAGACUCCUACGGGAGGCAGCAGUGGGGAAUAUUGCACAAUGGGCGCAAGCCUGAUGCAGCCAUGCCGCGUGUGUGAAGAAGGCCUUCGGGUUGUAAAGCACUUUCAGUCGUGAGGAAGGUGGUNNNGUUAAUAGCUNNAUCANUUGACGUUAGCGACAGAAGAAGCACCGGCUAACUCCGUGCCAGCAGCCGCGGUAAUACGGAGGGUGCGAGCGUUAAUCGGAAUUACUGGGCGUAAAGCGCAUGCAGGUGGUUUGUUAAGUCAGAUGUGAAAGCCCGGGGCUCAACCUCGGAAUAGCAUUUGAAACUGGCAG